GCAAACUUGGUCAUUUAGAGGAAGUAAAAGUCGUAACAAGGUUUCCGUAGGUGAACCUGCGGAAGGAUCAUUAAAAAGGUUGAUUAAAUGCCGUGUUCCCGGGGCGCCUCUCUUUCUCUCUCUCGAGGGGUUGUGUGUUUCGGGGGCGCGGCAUGCACCAACAACCACGAUCAUCCACCGUGUGCACUCAUUGAACCAUGGGAGGUUUUUUUGACCUCUAAUGGUUCCAAACCUUUCUAAAGUCUUACCGUUUGUCUGAACAUUAUGAUUUUCAAAUGAAAAUACAACUUUCAACAACGGAUCUCUUGGCUCUCGCAUCGAUGAAGAACGCAGC
rnacentral:misc_RNA from 1 species